rnacentral:rRNA from 1 species
UACGUGAGGGGCAAACGUUGUUCGGUGUCACUGGGCUUAAAGGGCGCGUAGGUGGUUACAUAAGUAAGGUGUGAAAUCCCUCGGCUUACCCGGGGAACUGCGCCUUAUACUGUGUGACUUGAGGGCCAUAGGGGAACGGGGAACUCCAGGUGUAGCGGUGAAAUGCGUAGAUAUCUGGGGGAAGGCCGGCGGCGAAGGCGCCGUUCUGGGUGGUACCUGACACUGAGGCGCGAAAGCGUGGGGAGCAAAC